rnacentral:rRNA from 1 species
ACUUACCAAACCGAUGCAAACUCCGAAUACCUAUGAGUACUAUCCGGGAGACAGACUGCGGGUGCUAACGUCCGUAGUCAAGAGGAAAACAAUCCAGACCGCCAGCUAAGGCCCCAAAAUCAUAGUUAAGUGGGAAACGAUGUGGGAAGGCAUAGACAGCUAGGAGGUUGGCUUAGAAGCAGCCACCCUUUAAAGAAAGCGUAAUAGCUCACUAGUCGAGUCGGCCUGCGCGGAAGAUGUAACGGGGCUAAAACUAUGUGCCGAAGCUGCGGAUGUAUACUUUGUAUACGUGGUAGGGGAGCGUUCUGUAAGCCGAUGAAGGUGUGUUGAGAAGCAUGCUGGAGGUAUCAGAAGUGCGAAUGCUGACGUGAGUAACGACAAAACGGGUGAAAAACCCGUUCGCCGAAAGACCAAGGGUUCCAGUCCAACGUUAAUCGGGGCUGGGUGAGUCGACCCCUAAGGCGAGGCCGAAAGGCGUAGUCGAUGGGAAAAUGGUUAAUAUUCCAUUACUUCUGUGUAAUGCGAUGAGAGGACGGAGAAGGCUAAAUCAGCCUGGCGUUGGUUGUCCAGGUGAAAGGAUGUAGGCAUGUAUCUUAGGCAAAUCCGGGGUACUCUAUGCUGAGAUCUGAUAGCAAGCUGUACUUGUACAGCGAAGUGGUUGAUGCCAUGCUUCCAGGAAAAGUCUCUAAGCUUCAGUUACACAGGAAUCGUACCCGAAACCGACACAGGUGGUCAGGUCGAGUAGACCAAGGCGCUUGAGAGAACUCUGCUGAAGGAACUAGGCAAAAUGGUACCGUAACUUCGGGAGAAGGUACGCUGUUGUUGGUGAUGGAACUCGCUUCCUGAGCUGACGACAGCCGCAGAAACCAGGCCGCUGCAACUGUUUAUUAAAAACAUAGCACUCUGCAAACACGAAAGUGGACGUAUAGGGUGUGAUGCCUGCCCGGUGCUGGAAGGUUAAUUGAUGGGGUUAGCGUAAGCGAAGCUCUUGAUCGAAGCCCCAGUAAACGGCGGCCGUAACUAUAACGGUCCUAAGGUAGCGAAAUUCCUUGUCGGGUAAGUUCCGACCUGCACGAAUGGCAUAAUGAUGGCGGCGCUGUCUCCAGCAGAGGCUCAGUGAAAUCGAAAUCGCUGUGAAGAUGCAGUGUACCCGCGGCUAGACGGAAAGACCCCGUGAACCUUUACUGCAGCUUGACACUGAACUUUGACCUUACUUGUGUAGGAUAGGUGGGAGGCUUUGAAGCUGGAACGCUAGUUCCAGUGGAGCCGUCCUUGAAAUACCACCCUGGUAAUGUUGAGGUUCUAACUCUGUCCCGUGAUCCGGGACGAGGACCGUGUCUGGUGGGUAGUUUGACUGGGGCGGUCUCCUCCUAAAGAGUAACGGAGGAGUACGAAGGUGCGCUCAGCGUGGUCGGAAAUCACGCGUAGAGUAUAAAGGCAAAAGCGCGCUUAACUGCGAGACCCACAAGUCGAGCAGGUACGAAAGUAGGUCUUAGUGAUCCGGUGGUUCUGUAUGGAAGGGCCAUCGCUCAACGGAUAAAAGGUACUCUGGGGAUAACAGGCUGAUACCGCCCAAGAGUUCAUAUCGACGGCGGUGUUUGGCACCUCGAUGUCGGCUCAUCUCAUCCUGGGGCUGAAGCAGGUCCCAAGGGUAUGGCUGUUCGCCAUUUAAAGAGGUACGCGAGCUGGGUUUAGAACGUCGUGAGACAGUUCGGUCCCUAUCUACCGUGGGCGCUGGAAAUUUGAGAGGAUCUGCUCCUAGUACGAGAGGACCAGAGUGGACGAACCUCUGGUGUACCGGUUGUGACGCCAGUCGCAUCGCCGGGUAGCUAUGUUCGGAAGGGAUAACCGCUGAAAGCAUCUAAGCGGGAAGCCUACCUCAAGAUAAGAUUUCCCUAGGACUUUAUGUCCUCUAAAGAGCCGUUCGAGACUAGGACGUUGAUAGGUUGGAUGUGGAAGCAUAGUGAUAUGUGAAGCUGACCAAUACUAAUUGCUCGUGAGGCUUGACUAUACAACACCCAAGCAGUUG